GACUCUUUCCAUCCGUACAUUGUCGUGCACAUGCCACUCAUCACCUGGCGUGCCCAGAUCCUCGCAGGGCAACACCCUGUGAUAAUUCCAGGUGAUUCUCUACAUCUGCAGCUUGAGGUUAGCCUCAUAUCACAUUACAUUCUCACUAGAAACAAAACAAAAAUGAAAUACUUAAAACAUCUACCAGAACAGAAUUAGGACUGGAAAGCAGCGGUCUUAGCUGACAAACAAGUUGUGCCAUCUGAGACUCAUGGGAGUAAAUCUCCUCUUUCAUAGUAAAAUCUCAUUACAGAAUGUUCCUUGACUUUGGCAAUUUUUCUGGGUCACAAGCAAGAAAAAAACAUAAGCAGGCGGAGAGAGCUCGCCCUGCCACCUGGGGCUUGUGUGUCAGCAGCUCCAGAGAGGAAUUGGGAUGUGAAAAGUUCAGCCAAAAUAGAAAGAAUUAACAUUUUUGCUAUAAAAAAGGAGCAUCUGCUGCCUUUUCAUGAGGACCUUCUCCAUAGGGGUCCUUUGAUUAGGCGGCAUUCCACUCAGUUUCUCGGUUAUCUCCCAGUUCUGCCACUGACUGCUUCCAUGUCUCAGCAUCUGCAGUGGCCAUGAGCAGAGCCAGACAGCAGGAGCUGGGCCCUGGACGACUCCACGGGAGAAACAGCCACAACAGGCAUGUGGGGCUCUGAUUGUAGGCGAGCCGGCUCUGCAGGGAUACAGAAAUCCACCCCAGGAGUGGCGAGCUGCCCUAGCAAAACCCCAAGCACGUGGUGAGGAUGGAAUGCUGGGCAGCAUGAGAGGAGACACAUGGGGCUAGAGGAACGUGUAGCCCAGGAGCCGCAGAAUCAGGCACAGCUGUGGCUUUUACCCACUCAGGCCACUGAGGUCCCAGGGUGGCAGCUCUGGGAAGCAGCUAGGAAUGCAGGAUGCCGGGGACGAGGCUGUUGGUUGCAGAACCCCACCGGGUGUUUCACAGAAUGAGUGUGGCCAGAUCCAGCCUGUUUCCAGCAGGGCUGACACAACUACAGCCCCGAUGGGCCCAGAGAAGCCACAGUGGCUGCAGAGAGAAGAGAGAAGCAGAAACGUGUCGUUAGCCUUCAGGCAACAGGAAGCAGCCCUGGUGUGGUCACUGCACAAGGAACAGGCUUGGUGAGCUGGUUUGGACGCCUUCGGUGCGUUUGCAAUCUGGCUUAAAGUCCUGAACCAACCCUCCGACCCUGCAGAAAGUGGACUGUGCAGGCUGGGAAAUGCUGAGAAGGAAGUCCUGAACCAACCCUCCGACCCUGCAGAAAGUGGGCUGUGCAGGCUGGGAAAUGCUCAGAAGGUGACUCCCAACACGUGGCCUGGAAGUCAUGGAGGAUUCUGGACGGGAGGGCAGAGCCCAGAGCAUCCCUCCUGGCCCCUCAGGGGAGCACGUCUGGGGCCUCAUCAGGGAGCUGCCUGCCGAGGCCAGGUCUGCACCGUUCCUCCCCAG
rnacentral:lncRNA from 10 species